AUUGAACGCUGGCGGCAGGCCUAACACAUGCAAGUCGAACGGUAACAGGAAGAAGCUUGCUUCUUUGCUGACGAGUGGCGGACGGGUGAGUAAUGUCUGGGAAACUGCCUGAUGGAGGGGGGUAACUACUGGAAACGGUAGCUAAUACCGCAUAACGUCGCAAGACCAAAAAGGGGGACCUUCGGGCCUCUUGCCAUCGGAUGUGCCCAGAUGGGAUUAGCUAGUAGGUGGGGUAACGGCUCACCUAGGCGACGAUCCCUAGCUGGUCUGAGAGGAUGACCAGCCACACUGGAACUGAGACACGGUCCAGACUCCUACGGGAGGCAGCAGUGGGGAAUAUUACACAAUGGGCGCAAGCCUGAUGCAGCCAUGCCGCGUGUAUGAAGAAGGCCUUCGGGUUGUAAAGUACUUUCAGCGGGGAGGAAGGGAGUAAAGUUAAUACCUUUGCUCAUUGACGUUACCCGCAGAAGAAGCACCGGCUAACUCCGUG
rnacentral:rRNA from 1 species